rnacentral:rRNA from 1 species
GAGCGGAUGACGGGAGCUUGCUCCUUGAUUCAGCGGCGGACGGGUGAGUAAUGCCUAGGAAUCUGCCUGGUAGUGGGGGACAACGUUUCGAAAGGAACGCUAAUACCGCAUACGUCCUACGGGAGAAAGCAGGGGACCUUCGGGCCUUGCGCUAUCAGAUGAGCCUAGGUCGGAUUAGCUAGUUGGUGGGGUAAUGGCUCACCAAGGCGACGAUCCGUAACUGGUCUGAGAGGAUGAUCAGUCACACUGGAACUGAGACACGGUCCAGACUCCUACGGGAGGCAGCAGUGGGGAAUAUUGGACAAUGGGCGAAAGCCUGAUCCAGCCAUGCCGCGUGUGUGAAGAAGGUCUUCGGAUUGUAAAGCACUUUAAGUUGGGAGGAAGGGCAGUAAGCUAAUACCUUGCUGUUUUGACGUUACCGACAAAAUAAACACCGGCUAAGUCUGUGCCAUCCGCCAGGGGAAUACCCAUGGUGGGGAACGUUUAUCGGAAGUAAUGGGCGGG